rnacentral:rRNA from 1 species
GUUAAUUUGCCCUUAGGUUCAGGAUAAUCUUGGGAAACUGAGGCUAAUACUGAAUAGAAAAUUGAUGCUGGAAUGCACUUUUUUUGAAACGUAAGGCCUAAGGAUAAGUCAGCGGCUGAUUAGGUUGAUGGUGAGGUAACGGCUCACCAUGCCGAUGAUCAGUAGGGGGGAUGAGAGUCCACGCCCCGAGAAGGGCACUGAGACACUGGCCCUAGCCCUAAGGGGUGCAGCAGCUUAGAAUCCUUUACAAUGCACGCAAGUGUGAUAAGGGGAUCCCAAGUGCUUUACUUCGGUAAGGCUUUUGUUAAGUGUAAAAAGCUUAGCGAAUAAGUGAUGGGUAAGACCGGUGCCAGCCGCCGCGGUAACACCGGCGUCACGAGUGGCAACCACAUUUAUUGGGUCUAAAGCGUUCGUAGCCUGUUUGGUAAAUCUCUUGUGAAAUUGCUGAGCUUAACUUAGCAACGUGCGAGGGAGACUGCCAAGCUAGGGACCGGGAGGAGGCAGGAGUAUUUUUGGGGGAGCGGUAAAAUGCUAUAAUCCCAAGAGGACUACCUGUGGCGAAGGCGCCUGCCUAGAACGGGUCCGACGGUGAGGAACGAAAGCGGGGGGAGCGAUCAGGAUUAGAUACCCUAGUAGUCCCCGCUGUAAACGCUGCGAGCUGUGUGUUGCAUGUCCUCCGGGGGCAUGCAGUGCUUAAGUGAAGACGUUAAGCUCGCCACCUGGGAAGUACGGCCGCAAGACUGAAACUUAAAGGAAUUGGCGGGGGCUCACUACAAGGAGUGCGCGUGCGGUUCAAUUGGAUUACACACCGGGAAUCUCACCAGGAGCGACGGCAGGAUGAAGGUCAGAUUAAAGGUCUUACCUAACAAGCCGGGAGGUGGUGCAUGGCCGUCGUCAGCUCGUGCUGUGAAGUGUCCUGCUAAGCCAGGCAACGAGCGAGACCCAUGCUUACAUUUGCCAGCAUUUCCCUCGGGAAGAAUGGGCACAAUGUAGGGACUGCUCUCGAAAGGGAGAAGAAGGAGUGGGCAACGAUAGGUCAGUAUGCCCCGAAUCUCCUGGGCUACACGCGCGCAACAAUGGUAGAUACAAUGGGAUGCGACUCCGAAAGGAGAAGCCAAUCCUUUAAACUCUAUCUUAGUUCAGAUUGAGGAUUGUAACUCAUCCUCACGACGAUGGAAUUCCUAGUAAUCGGAUCUCACCAGGGUCCGGUGAACACGUCCCUGAGCCUUGCACACACUGCCCGUCAAGCCAACCGAGCAGGGUUUGAGUGAGGGUUUAUUUUAUUGAUAAACACGAGCUUUGAUUCAGUAAGGUGGGCUAAGUCGUCACAAGGUA